GGCGAGUGAAGCGGCAACAGCUCAGAUUUGGAAUCUGGCCCCCCCCGGGGGGUCCGAGUUGUAAUCUGGAGAGGAUGCUUCUGGCGCGGCGCCCGGCGAGUUCCCUGGAACGGGACGCCAGAGAGGGUGAGAGCCCCGUACGGCGGGACGCCGCGCCUCUGCGAAGCUCCUUCGACGAGUCGAGUAGUUUGGGAAUGCUGCUCCAAACGGGAGGUAAAUUUCUCCUAAAGCUAAAUACCGGCCGGAGACCGAUAGCGCACAAGUAGAGUGAUCGAAAGAUGAAAAGCACUUUGAAAAGAGGGUCAAACAGUACGUGAAAUUGUUGAAAGGGAAGCGCCCGUGGCCAGACUCGCGCCCCGCGGACCACCCGGCGGACUCCGCCGGGGCACGCCGCGGGGCGCGGGCCAGCAUCGGCCCCCGCAGGGGGACAAGGGCGGCGGGAACGUGGCUCCUCUGGGAGUGUUACAGCCCGCCGCGCCAUGCCCCUGGGGGGGCCGAGG
rnacentral:rRNA from 1 species